UACGUAGGUGGCAAGCGUUGUCCGGAUUUACUGGGUGUAAAGGGCGUGCAGCCGGGAAAACAAGUCAGAUGUGAAAUCCCGCGGCUCAACCGCGGAACUGCAUUUGAAACUGUUUUUCUUGAGUACCGGAGAGGUCAUCGGAAUUCCUUGUGUAGCGGUGAAAUGCGUAGAUAUAAGGAAGAACACCAGUGGCGAAGGCGGAUGACUGGACGGCAACUGACGGUGAGGCGCGAAAGCGUGGGGAGCAAACAGG
rnacentral:rRNA from 1 species